GGGGGAGAGGAGACAGGAACACUGUCAGCACUGCCAUCUCCACAUACGCAGGACACUGUACAUUUUGCAAUACAUAUUAAACAUCGGGUGAUCUUGUUUUCAGAUGUUCACUGCACGUGGCUUUAUUAGAAACCGCCUGCCAGAGUCUAGACACAGCCAUGGAGUCUGGUGACCUGUGGGAGGGAGCAAGGGCCAGAAUUCCCGCUGAGUCGCCCCAGCCCUCCACCUUAAUCCCCUUCUUAACUUUCCAUCUGCUACUGGAUGCUUGCAGCAGAACCACAACCUGCCAGCCCCUACCCAGCUCCAAACCCCCUCUCUCCCCCGCAGGCGCGCAGCAACCGCCGCGGCAACCCCUUCCCGCGGGACCCGGCAGGCUGGGCGGGGGUGCGGCGGGGGCGGAGCCCGACGUCCUGCUGCUGCUGCCGCCGCUGCCGCCACCGCCGCCUGCGAAGCUGCCUCCCCUUCCACGGAUGCUCCGGCGGGGCAGCGCUGCCCUGCGUGGACAGAUGGGCGCCCCCCGGGCCUGACGGACGAGCAGCCGGGCACGUGAACUCCCGCCUCCAAUUUAGCUCUGUGCCCCGCGCCGGCGGCUGUGGCUGCAGCCCCGCGGUGGGGGCGGCCCCCGCGGUCUCCGCUUGGCUCCUGCGCGCCGCCUCUGCUCUUUGCAUAGUAAUUUCAGUUCCUGCAAGCACCCAGCUCGCUCCCGGAACAGGUCUGAGAAGGACCGCCGCUCCCGAGCACACCGGAGCCAUCCGUGUGGCGCUGAGAGCCACUGCUUGGGAUAUGCGACGGGAAGCCCCCGCCACAGCGCAGGCAGUGACCCCGCCACGCUGGGGAGAGCCGGGCGACAGCAGUGGAAGAGCAGUGCAUCAGUUACCAUCAUCACAGGCCAAUAUGAUGGAGGCAGCUGGCCCUCAAGGAUCGCCUCCAAAAGUGACUCAGGGACCUCAGCUGCUUCUAUCGUGUAACCCUGCUGUCUCAAAGAUGCUUACAUCCAACCAACAGAAAAGAAAAAGAGAAUGUAGAGAACCCACACCCUCCCUUAACUGUCUCAGAUGAGAAGUGGGGCAUUAUAUCCACUCACAUUUCUGUUGACAAGGACUCAGUUUCAACCUAAAUACAAGGGGAAAGUAGUCCUUCUUUGUCCCAAGAAAGACAAAAUCAUAUGACAAAUAUGUAAUAUUAACUCAGUCACAGCAGUGGGAGUGAGGACAUGAAGAUUUCUGUCGUGAAGCAAGUCCAUGCGAUAACAAAGUGCCCAGGGAUGUUUUGUGGUUAAUCGAAGAAUGACAUUUGAAGAACUAAAGUCUAACUGGUUGGACAGAUGGCUGAGGUGGAUGCUGUGCAGUGCCACCCAGAUUCCCCUGGCUGCUGAGAGACGGCCCACAGCUAUAAGCUCUCUUUGGAAUUUCCUUGGCUAACGAGAGUCAGCUCUCCCAAUGCUGUAUCCCCCCUCUUGGAGAAUCUCACAUCUGGUGAGUUAAUGCAGGUGUAAGAAGCCUAGCUCCCUUGUGUCAACUUAGAACGACUCUGAAGGCUACCCUAGCAUCAGAGUUCCUUGUAGUGUCGGAAAGGUCUUCAUUGAGACUGUACCAGAAUUCAGCUUCUCCCCCUGCCUGAGGCUCCUUCCAUCCCUUCACUUUCCACACCUGGUGAUACCAACAACAAUCCCCAGUACACCUCCUCUAUGCUAAUCUCCACCUCAGAAUCUGCUUCCUGGGAAACCUAACUUGUAACAAAAGUCAGGUCUGCCUAUAAAAUUUGCAAGGCCCAGAGCACAAUGAAAGUUGUUCAAAAAUUAACAACUUCAAGAUGGCAAUAGCAGAACAUUUAACCAAGUGUUGGGCCCUUUUAAACAUGGAGCUCUGUGUGACAGCACAGGUCACACACCCAUGAAGCCAGUCGUACAACAGUCUAUAUAUUCUUUGAAAUUUCCAGUUGCAGGAGUUGGAGUAGAUGGGUCAGUUAGAUGGCAAGUUGUUGAAUAAACAAGGGGAAGAGGUCA
rnacentral:lncRNA from 1 species